rnacentral:rRNA from 1 species
ACGCUCGACACCUACGAGAGGCAGCAGUGAGGAAUAUUGGUCAAUGGACGCAAGUCUGAACCAGCCAUGCCGCGUGCAGGAUGACGGCUCUAUGAGUUGUAAACUGCUUUUGUACGAGGGUAAACGCAGAUACGUGUAUCUGUCUGAAAGUAUCGUACGAAUAAGGAUCGGCUAACUCCGUGCCAACAGCCGCGGUAAUCUGAGCGGGCUGGCAAGGC